CAUGCUUUUGAAGAAGGCUGGUACUUCCCCGGUGGUCGACAUGCCUUGCCGGUGACGUUGGGGCGGAUUGGGACUGCGAGGUUUCUUGUAGGGUGUGUUUUAUGGCACAAGGUUUGAGGUCAUGAGGCGUUCAGCACCGCGGAGAGCUCCCCCCAAAAGUCACACCCAGCCAGCAGUGAGCGGCGCUGUCCCUUCAGCACCAAGCGGGUUCUGGUCGUCUCAGGCGCGCGUGUGGCACCGGACAGGUACAGAGGACGUCAUGAACAAAGGAACCAGUCCGAGACAUAAACACAAGAAAGCCUCCGGUUUGAAAGCCCACGUUAAAAGGUCUCCACUGCCGGAUGGAUAACUAGCAGGCAUGCCAAAACUCAGAUGGUGCAGAUGAAACUCUCAUUUCUUCUCCAUGGAAGACAGGUGGAAGCGAGUAAGAAGAUGAAAGACAAACGGGACGAACCCGCCUGCCAACAGGAAAGGACAUUUCUGUCACGCACUAAAGACAAAUGACUUUUUCCAUAUUUCAUGGCUUCGUGUGACUGCAAUCCGAGCUGCUCAGUUCGUUGACUUUAUAAAUAAAGCAAGAACGCAGCUGAUGUUUUAACAUUUGUAACAGCUGUAGGGAUGCAGCUCAUCAUGCAGAUGAGCACCACAAGCAGACUGAAUUAUGAGGCAUCAUUGGUACACUGUCACCACUCUGUCUGCAGCUGAUGUAAAGCAGCUGCAGUGUGGUGCCGCUGGAUUCUGAGGAGACGAGGAGGAAAAAGUCUCCUCACCAGAGGGAUGGAGAUGUAGCCGGCCACCACCCUGUAACCCAUGGUAACGCCAUCAACUGCAGUGGGAGGAGCAGAGUUGCUCACCGUGUCCGGAUUGGCCAGGAACAGGUGUUCUGAGGUUCCAUGUAGGGAGGGUGAGGCAGGGCUCAGUGUGUGUGUGUGUUCAGAUCAGUGACAUAAUUGAUAAUCAACAUUAUUAUCAGAGCUUUGUCUGUUCUUGGGAAUGAAAACACUCUCUUUUGCACUUUGCUCUUCCUUUAUGUUAUGAAUUAUUAGAUGCAGACUUUCCAUAUCUUGACCACCUAAUACCUUUAAUUUACACAUUCAUUUUUGAAAUGUCAAUAACAAAACCUUCACUUGUGUCUGGGGCGUUUUUGUAAAAGAGGAUUGUUCAAAUGUGAUUAGUACCUCUAAAUCUUGAAGGAAACAUUCAUUUUGGGAAGGAUUUCCAUUUUUUCCUGUUGAGUGUUGGAUGUGGAGAUGGACUGACGACUGACUCAUGUCAUCCAUACAGCAGCCACUUAGCUUAGCAUAAAGCCUAAAAGCAAGGAGGACGUGUCGGCCUGCGGGUCAGUACCUCCAGCAGGCUUCUGCUUUCAUGUUCUUGUCUUUUUGUCGGUCAGAUUGGGUCUCUUGUUUUACGUUGAUCUUGCAAUGUAAUUUGAAGUUUAACUGCUUGUGCCGACGGUCUGCUUAUCAAGUUCUGCGUGUUACUGUCCUUUUAAUGGACAAUUUAAGAUAUAAUCAAGGGACAUACUGUUGAAAACAACUUAUUGGCUAACAACUGUCAAAUUCACAGUUAUGUUGAUUCAUGUUGAUUCUGCCUCAAUGUGAUGGGAAGCUAAGUUGUUUAUUUAAUCUGUACAGAAAUCAAAUUAUAAAAACUAUGUGUGAUGUG